rnacentral:rRNA from 1 species
AAACUAACAAGGAUUCCCCUAGUAACGGCGAGUGAAGAGGGAAGAGCCCAAGAUUGAAAGCUGGCGUCUUCGGCGUCCGCAUUGUAAUCUCAAGAAGUGUUUUCCGCUUCGGACCAAGCCUAAGUCCCCUGGAAAGGGGCAUCAUAGAGGGUGAUAAUCCCGUACAUGGCUUGGAGCGCCCGAGGCUUUGUGAUACGCUUUCUAAGAGUCGAGUUGUUUGGGAAUGCAGCUCAAAAUGGGUGGUAAAUGCCAUCUAAGGCUAAAUAUUGGGGAGAGACCGAUAGCGAACAAGUACAGUGAUGGAAAGAUGAAAAGAACUUUGAAAAGAGAGUUAAACAGUACGUGAAAUUGCCAAAAGGGAAGGGUAGGAGGUCAGAGAUGCGGCCUGGGAUUCAGCCUUGCUUUUGCUUGGUGUUUUUCCCAGAUUGCAGGCCAACGUCGGUUUUGGGCACUGGAGAAGGGUAGGAGGAACGUGGCACCCCUCGGGGUGUGUUAUAGCCUCCUACUGGAUACAGCGACCGAGACCGAGGACAGCAGCGUACUCGCAAGAGCGGGCCUUCGGGCACCUUUACGCUUAGGGCGUUGGCAUAAUGGCCCUCU